rnacentral:rRNA from 1 species
GGCAGCAGUGGGGAAUAUUGCACAAUGGGCGAAAGCCUGAUGCAGCAACGCCGCGUGAGUGAUGAAGGCCUUCGGGUCGUAAAACUCUGUCCUCAAGGAAGAUAAUGACGGUACUUGAGGAGGAAGCCCCGGCUAACUACGUGCCAGCAGCCGCGGUAAUACGUAGGGGGCUAGCGUUAUCCGGAUUUACUGGGCGUAAAGGGUGCGUAGGCGGUCUUUCAAGUCAGGAGUGAAAGGCUACGGCUCAACCGUAGUAAGCUCUUGAAACUGGGAGACUUGAGUGCAGGAGAGGAGAGUGGAAUUCCUAGUGUAGCGGUGAAAUGCGUAGAGAUUAGGAGGAACACCAGUUGCGAAGGCGGCUCGCUGGACUGUAACUGACGCUGAGGCACGAAAGCGUGGGGAGCAAACAGGAUUAGAUACCCCAGAUGGGCACGAUGGUAACGAUGAUCACUGGGGGUUGUGGGGGUGCACUAUGUGC